rnacentral:rRNA from 1 species
CUACGGGUGGCUGCAGUGGGGAAUAUUGCACAAUGGGGGAAACCCUGAUGCAGCCAUGCCGCGUGUGUGAAGAAGGCCUUCGGGUUGUAAAGCACUUUCAGUAGGGAGGAAGGUGUUGUCGUUAAUAGCGGCAGCAUUUGACGUUACCUACAGAAGAAGCACCGGCUAACUCCGUGCCAGCAGCCGCGGUAAUACGGAGGGUGCGAGCGGUAAUCGGAAUUACUGGGCGUAAAGCGCAUGCAGGUGGCUUGUUAAGCCAGAUGUGAAAGCCCGGGGCUUAACCUCGGAAUAGCAUUUGGAACUGGCAAGCUAGAGUACUGUAGAGGGGGGUAGAAUUUCAGGUGUAGCGGUGAAAUGCGUAGAGAUCUGAAGGAAUACCGGUGGCGAAGGCGGCCCCCUGGACAGAUACUGACACUCAGAUGCGAAAGCGUGGGGAGCAAACAGGAUUAGAUACCCUAGUAGUC